rnacentral:lncRNA from 1 species
UAUUAAUCCUAACUUAUAUAUAUAUAUAUUCAUAUAUAUGUAUGUAUUUAUGUAUAAGCAUGUGUCUUUGUAUCUUUCUCUUUAUCUCUCACUACUUGACAAACAGUAUUGAGUUGUUUACAAUCCUAUAACUUGGUGAUUCAGUAAAAGGAGUCUGAUAGUACUGGGUGGGGAGGGGGCAGUUUGAAGGCAAUACCCAGGUUUGUCUGCUGUAUAAUGAUUGAAACCGGUUAAAAUGAAUAAAGCACGUCAUUAUAGAUCAUCAAAGAACCACUUAUCUUCACUUAUCAUAUCUAGCUUCCUGAGAUGUUUGCCAAGGCACAAAGCUAUGUUUGUCACAAAAUGACAGACUUGUGUAUCAUAUAACAUAAUCAUAUUCUUCAAGAGUGAAAAUAUAAUAUUAGUAUCAAUCCCAACUCACACAUUGGAUUAAUAACCCCCUAAACUAAAGAUAUAUCUUGACACUAAGGCAGCAACAAUGUUGAAGUUUAUGUUCAUUUACUUGAGAUUUAGAUACUUCCUUCCUCCAUGAACUGUUGCUGUUAUUGUUGUUCAUUUUCCCUUUAUAAAUAUGUUUAUAAUCAUUUUUAAGAACAACUGGUAAUACAAAGCACACACAUACAACAUAUUUAUAUAUAUAUAUAUAUAUAUAUAUAUAUAUUAUAUAUAUAUAAUAUGUGUGUGUGUGUGUGUGUGUGUGUUUUGUCUCUGAGUUUGUCUCCCCGUCACAUAACAGCUGAUCUUGGUACGUUUAUGUUCCCGUAACUUAACAGUUCAGCAAAAGAAACCGAUAGAAUAAAUACUAGGCUUACAAAGAAUAAGUACUGGAGUCAAUUUCUUCAACUAAAACUUUUUAAAGUGGUGCUCCAGCAGAGCUGCAGUCAAAUGACUGAAACAAUUAAAAGAAUGGAAGAAUGAAAAGAAAGAAUGUGUGUGUGUGUUGUGUGUGUGUGUGCGCGUGCGUGUGUGUGUGUGUGUGUUGUACUUUUUUCAUACACACUGUCUCUAGAUCUACUUUUCACAAUUUGUAUUUCCUGUUUAUUUUUAUAUUAAUAUUUUUGUUAUUUUCUUAAGAUGAGUGGGGUUUAUGGAAAAUCUGACUGCUUCCAGCAUGUAGAGUGACCAUUAUAGGAAGCAACACCUCGUCUACAUGGGAACAGUGUGUGUGUGUGUGUGUGUGAGAGAGAGGCAAAAAGACAGGCAGACAGAGAAGAGAGAAACAGUUGAAUACAUUUGCAGUGGUUUAGCUUUGUAUCCAAUAUCAACAUGAUUGAAAUUAUCAAAUACUCUGGCAGAAAAUCAAUAAGAUAUGUACGAGCAUAACCAUUUCGCAUUAGAGUUAAUUUGAUAUUUUAAACCACAAGAAACCCAGAAUAAAGAGCAGAGACUGUAAAACAAAGAGAUUUCUUUAAAUUGUUUUCAAAUACUUUUGUUAAUUAUUGUUUGAAAUAUUUAGAGUUUACAUUACAUUAGUAAUCAAAAAUAUACACCUGUUAUCAAUGUUAAACACCACACCCACCUCACAGAUGUACAUCUCUCCAUUGUUAAUUAUGUGUGCAUAUCUAUAUACACACACACAUGCACACCAUACAUAUAUACUUCUUAGUUCCAGAAACAUCAGUGAUAUUUCAAUGUUUCUGAGGGUCUUCAUGAGGUUUUAGGUCUUUCAAUACAAGACUCAUGCAGGCUGGCCCACCCAGGGUUGAUCAAGUCCCAGCUUGCAGCCCAGU